rnacentral:rRNA from 1 species
GUGGGGAAUUUUGGACAAUGGGCGAAAGCCUGAUCCAGCCAUGCCGCGUGCAGGAUGAAGGCCUUCGGGUUGUAAACUGCUUUUGUACGGAACGAAAAGACUCUGGUUAAUACCUGGGGUCCAUGACGGUACCGUAAGAAUAAGCACCGGCUAACUACGUGCCAGCAGCCGCGGUAAUACGUAGGGUGCAAGCGUUAAUCGGAAUUACUGGGCGUAAGCGUGCGCAGGCGGUUAUAUAAGACAGAUGUGAAAUCCCCGGGCUCAACCUGGGAACUGCAUUUGUGACUGUAUAGCUAGAGUACGGCAGAGGGGGAUGGAAUUCCGCGUGUAGCAGUGAAAUGCGUAGAUAUGCGGAGGAACACCGAUGGCGAAGGCAAUCCCCUGGGCCUGUACUGACGCUCAUGCACGAAAGCGUGGGGAGCAAACAGGAUUAGAUACCCCUGUAGUCC